UACGUAGGGGGCAAGCGUUAUCCGGAUUUACUGGGUGUAAAGGGAGCGUAGACGGCACUGCAAGUCCGGAGUGAAAGCCCAAGGCUUAACCAUGGGACUGCUCUGGAAACUGUGGAGCUUGAGUGCGGGAGGGGCAGGCGGAAUUCCUAGUGUAGCGGUGGAAUGCGUAGAUAUUAGGAGGAACACCAGUGGCGAAGGCGGUUUGCUGGGCCAUUACUGACGCUCAUGCACGAAAGCGUGGGGAGCAAAUAGG
rnacentral:rRNA from 1 species